AUAUGCAUUGCCUGUGAAGGUAGUGCAUAUUUUUCAUUGGAUCAUCAGAAGAUGACAAGCAUGUGGGGCGUAAGUAGUAUUUUUAUGCGGGAGAAGAAGAAUGGCAAUUGUUCUAAUUAGUACUGAUAAUUGCAAAUACUAUGAUCGUGCGGACGUUAAAAUCAUGC
rnacentral:ribozyme from 1 species